UACGGAGGUGGCAAGCGUUGUCCGGAAUUAUUGGGCGUAAAGCGCGCGUAGGCGGUUUCUUAAGUCUGAUGUGAAAGCCCACGGCUCAACCGUGGAGGGUCAUUGGAAACUGGGGAACUUGAGUGCAGAAGAGGAAAGUGGAAUUCCAAGUGUAGCGGUGAAAUGCGUAGAGAUUUGGAGGAACACCAGUGGCGAAGGCGGCUCUCUGGGACGGUACUGACGCUGAGACGCGAAAGCGUGGGGAGCAAACAGG
rnacentral:rRNA from 1 species